rnacentral:rRNA from 1 species
GCAAAGGUAGCAUAAUCAAUAGUCUUUUAAUUGGAGGCUUGAAUGAACGGUUUGACGGAAAAGGAGCUGUCUCCUUAGUUUGAAUUGAAGUUAACUUUUGUGUGAAAAGGCAUUAAUGGAUUAGGGGGACGAUAAGACCCUAUAAAGCUUAAUACAUGUUAUGCUAUUUAUUAAAACUGGUUAAUAAUUAUAAAAUGGCUUAGUGUAUUUUGCUGGGGCGGCAUGAAUAUAAUUUGUAACUGUUUGUGAGUUGUAAUACGUUUAAGUAGAUUUUGGUCCUUUAUUAGGGAGAGAGAUUAAGCUACUUUAGGGAUAACAGCAUAAUUUUCCUUGAGAGUCCAUAUCGAAGGGAGUAGUUGUGACCUCGAUGUUGAAUUAAAUUUUCUUUUAGGUGCAGUAGUUG